rnacentral:rRNA from 1 species
UACGUAGGGUGCGAGCGUUAAUCGGAAUUACUGGGCGUAAAGCGUCCGUAGGUGGCUAGUCAAGUCUGCGGUCAAAGACUGGGGCUUAACCCUGGAAAGGCCGUGGAAACUGACGAGCUAGAGUGCAGUAGGGGUAGAGGGAAUUCCCGGUGUAGCGGUGAAAUGCGUAGAGCUCGGGAAGAACAUCGGUGGCGAAAGCGCUCUACUGGACUGCAACUGACACUCAGGGACGAAAGCUAGGGGAGCGAAUGGG